rnacentral:rRNA from 1 species
UUCAGUGGCGAUGGCUAUGAGGAUCCACCUGUUCCCAUCUCGAACACAGUAGUUAAGCUCAUAAACGCCGAAAGUACUUGGCUGGAGACGGCCUGGGAGGGCAGAACCGUACAUG